CGAACGCUGGCGGCGUGCUUAACACAUGCAAGUCGAACGAUGAAGCCUUUCGGGGUGGAUUAGUGGCGAACGGGUGAGUAACACGUGGGCAAUCUGCCCUUCACUCUGGGACAAGCCCUGGAAACGGGGUCUAAUACCGGAUAACACUNUGUCCCGCAUGGGACGGGGUUAAAAGCUCCGGCGGUGAAGGAUGAGCCCGCGGCCUAUCAGCUUGUUGGUGGGGUAAUGGCCUACCAAGGCGACGACGGGUAGCCGGCCUGAGAGGGCGACCGGCCACACUGGGACUGAGACACGGCCCAGACUCCUACGGGAGGCAGCAGUGGGGAAUAUUGCACAAUGGGCGAAAGCCUGAUGCAGCGACGCCGCGUGAGGGAUGACGGCCUUCGGGUUGUAAACCUCUUUCAGCAGGGAAGAAGCGAAAGUGACGGUACCUGCAGAAGAAGCGCCGGCUAACUACGUGCCAGCAGCCGCGGUAAUACGUAGGGCGCAAGCGUUGUCCGGAAUUAUUGGGCGUAAAGAGCUCGUAGGCGGCUUGUCACGUCGGAUGUGAAAGCCCGGGGCUUAACCCCGGGUCUGCAUUCGAUACGGGCUAGCUAGAGU
rnacentral:rRNA from 1 species